rnacentral:rRNA from 1 species
UACGUAGGGUGCAAGCGUUAAUCGGAAUUACUGGGCGUAAAGCGUGCGCAGGCGGUUAUGUAAGACAGUUGUGAAAUCCCCGGGCUCAACCUGGGAACUGCAUCUGUGACUGCAUAGCUAGAGUACGGUAGAGGGGGAUGGAAUUCCGCGUGUAGCAGUGAAAUGCGUAGAUAUGCGGAGGAACACCGAUGGCGAAGGCAAUCCCCUGGACCUGUACUGACGCUCAUGCACGAAAGCGUGGGGAGCAAAACGG